rnacentral:ribozyme from 16 species
UGUUUUUUUCUUUCUCUCUUUUUGUUUUGUUUCUGUUUUUUUUUUUGUUGUUGUUGUUGUUGUACUUAAUUAUUAUGGAAAAUUGUAUAGAAUCUAUUGUACGUUACCUGAAGAACAGUACGUCAUGGCCAAUCAUAGGGCUGCCGUCCCUAUUACUUUAGUAAUAGUUACUCUGAUUAGAUCAAAAUUUGCAAAACGAAAACAAA